rnacentral:rRNA from 1 species
GCGUGGAUGAAGAAGGUUUUCGGAUUGUAAAGUCCUUUCGGCGGGGACGAUGAUGACGGUACCCGCAGAAGAAGCCCCGGCUAACUUCGUGCCAGCAGCCGCGGUAAUACGAAGGGGGCUAGCGUUGCUCGGAAUGACUGGGCGUAAAGGGCGCGUAGGCGGACUGGUCAGUCAGACGUGAAAUUCCUGGGCUCAACCUGGGGGCUGCGUUUGAGACGGCUGGUCUAGAGUUUGGAAGAGGGUUGUGGAAUUUCCAGUGUAGAGGUGAAAUUCGU